GGACUACUAGGGUUUCUAAUCCUGUUUGCUCCCCACGCUUUCGCGCCUCAGCGUCAGUCAAGGACCAGGUCGCCGCCUUCGCCACCGGUGUUCUUCCCAAUAUCUACGAAUUUCACCUCUACACUGGGAAUUCCACGACCCUCUUCCCCACUCCAGCCCGCACGUAUCGAAUGCAGCCCCCAGGUUGAGCCCAGGAAUUUCACACCCGACUAUACAAGCCGCCUACGCGCCCUUUACGCCCAGUCAUUCCGAGCAACGCUAGCCCCCUUCGUAUUACCGCGGCUGCUGGCAC
rnacentral:rRNA from 1 species